rnacentral:rRNA from 1 species
GACGAACGCUGGCGGCGUGCUUAACACACGCAAGUCGAACGGAAAGGCCCUGCUUUUGUGGGGUGCUCGAGUGGCGAACGGGUGAGUAACACGUGAGUAACCUGCCCUUGACUUUGGGAUAACUUCAGGAAGCUGGGGCUAAUACCGGAUAGGAGCUCCUGCUGCAUGGUGGGGGUUGGAAAGUUUCGGCGGUUGGGGAUGGACUCGCGGCUUAUCAGCUUGUUGGUGGGGUAGUGGCUUACCAAGGCUUUGACGGGUAGCCGGCCUGAGAGGGUGACCGGCCACAUUGGGACUGAGAUACGGCCCAGACUCCUACGGGAGGCAGCAGUGGGGAAUAUUGCACAAUGGGCGGAAGCCUGAUGCAGCAACGCCGCGUGCGGGAUGACGGCCUUCGGGUUGUAAACCGCUUUCGCCUGUGACGAAGCGUGAGUGACGGUAAUGGGUAAAGAAGCACCGGCUAACUACGUGC